rnacentral:rRNA from 1 species
GACGAACGCUGGCGGCGUGCUUAACACAUGCAAGUCGAACGGAAAGGCCCUGCUUUUGUGGGGUGCUCGAGUGGCGAACGGGUGAGUAACACGUGAGUAACCUGCCCUUGACUUUGGGAUAACUUCAGGAAACUGGGGCUAAUACCGGAUAGGAGCUCCUGCUGCAUGGUGGGGGUUGGAAAGUUUCGGCGGUUGGGGAUGGACUCGCGGCUUAUCAGCUUGUUGGUGGGGUAGUGGCUUACCAAGGCUUUGACAGGUAGCCGGCCUGAGAGGGUGACCGGCGACAUUGGGACUGAGAUACGGCCCAGACUCCUACGGGAGGCAGCAGUGGGGAAUAUUGCACAAUGGGCGGAAGCCUGAUGCAGCAACGCCGCGUGCGGGAUGACGGCCUUCGGGUUGUAAACCGCUUUCGCCUGUGACGAAGCGUGAGUGACGGUAAUGGGUAAAGAAGCACCGGCUAACUACGUG